GACAGCAGUAGCCGCGGGAAUACGUAGGUCCCGAGCGUUGUCCGGAUUUAUUGGGCGUAAAGGGAGCGCAGGCGGUUUAGUAAGUCUGAAGUUAAAGGCAUUGGCUCAACCAAUGUAUGCUUUGGAAACUGUUAGACUUGAGUGCAGAAGGGGAGAGUGGAAUUCCAUGUGUAGCGGUGAAAUGCGUAGAUAUAUGGAGGAACACCGGUGGCGAAAGCGGCUCUCUGGUCUGUCACUGACGCUGAGGCUCGAAAGCGUGGGUAGCGAACAGGAUUAGAUACCCGUGUAGUCCCUGUCUCUUAUACA
rnacentral:rRNA from 1 species